rnacentral:rRNA from 1 species
UACAGAGGGGGCAAGCGUUGUUCGGAAUUACUGGGCGUAAAGGGCGCGUAGGCGGCCUUCUAAGUCGAACGUGAAAUCCCCGGGCUCAACCCGGGAACUGCGUCCGAUACUGGAAGGCUUGAAUCCGGGAGAGGGAUGCGGAAUUCCAGGUGUAGCGGUGAAAUGCGUAGAUAUCUGGAGGAACACCGGUGGCGAAGGCAGCACUCUGGGACGUGACUGACGCUGAGACGCGAAAGCGUGGGGAGCAAACAGG